UGACGUACAUUUUGUAAGUCGCUCUGGAUAAGAGCGUCUGCUAAAUGACUUAAA
rfam:Salmo salar isolate Sally breed double haploid chromosome ssa13, whole genome shotgun sequence.